GACGAACGCUGGCGGCGUGCUUAACACAUGCAAGUCGAACGGAAAGGCCCUGCUUUUGUGGGGUGCUCGAGUGGCGAACGGGUGAGUAACACGUGAGUAACCUGCCCUUGACUUUGGGAUAACUUCAGGAAACUGGGGCUAAUACCGGAUAGGAGCUCCUGCUGCAUGGUGGGGGUUGGAAAGUUUCGGCGGUUGGGGAUGGACUCGCGGCUUAUCAGCUUGUUGGUGGGGUAGUGGCUUACCAAGGCUUUGACGGGUAGCCGGCCUGAGAGGGUGACCGGCCACAUUGGGACUGAGAUACGGCCCAGACUCCUACGGGAGGCAGCAGUGGGGAAUAUUGCACAAUGGGCGGAAGCCUGAUGCAGCAACGCCGCGUGCGGGAUGACGGCCUUCGGGUUGUAAACCGCUUUCGCCUGUGACGAAGCGUGAGUGACGGUAAUGGGUAAAGAAGCACCGGCUAACUACGUGCCAGCAGCCGCGGUGAUACGUAGGGUGCGAGCGUUGUCCGGAUUUAUUGGGCGUAAAGGGCUCGUAGGUGGUUGAUCGCGUCGGAAGUGUAAUCUUGGGGCUUAACCCUGAGCGUGCUUUCGAUACGGGUUGACUUGAGGAAGGUAGGGGAGAAUGGAAUUCCUGGUGGAGCGGUGGAAUGCGCAGAUAUCAGGAGGAACACCAGUGGCGAAGGCGGUUCUCUGGGCCUUUCCUGACGCUGAAGAGCGAAAGCGUGGGGAGCGAACAGGCUUAGAUACCCUGGUAGUCCACGCUGUAAACGGUGGGUACUAGGUGUGGGGUCCAUUCCACGGGUUCCGUGCCGUAGCUAACGCUUUAAGUACCCCGCCUGGGGAGUACGGCCGCAAGGCUAAAACUCAAAGGAAUUGACGGGGCCCCGCACAAGCGGCGGAGCAUGCGGAUUAAUUCGAUGCAACGCGUAGAACCUUACCUGGGUUUGACAUGGAUCGGGAGUGCUCAGAGAUGGGUGUGCCUCUUUUGGGGUCGGUUCACAGGUGGUGCAUGGCUGUCGUCAGCUCGUGUCGUGAGAUGUUGGGUUAAGUCCCGCAACGAGCGCAACCCUUGUUCACUGUUGCCAGCACGUUAUGGUGGGGACUCAGUGGAGACCGCCGGGGUCAACUCGGAGGAAGGUGGGGAUGACGUCAAGUCAUCAUGCCCCUUAUGUCCAGGGCUUCACGCAUGCUACAAUGGCUGGUACAGAGAGUGGCGAGCCUGUGAGGGUGAGCGAAUCUCGGAAAGCCGGUCUCAGUUCGGAUUGGGGUCUGCAACUCGACCUCGUGAAGUCGGAGUCGCUAGUAAUCGCAGAUCAGCAACGCUGCGGUGAAUACGUUCCCGGG
rnacentral:rRNA from 1 species